AGGACGAACGCUGGCGGCGUGCUUAACACAUGCAAGUCGAGCGGAAAGGCCCUUCGGGGUACUCGAGCGGCGAACGGGUGAGUAACACGUGAGCAACCUGCCCUUAGCUUCGGGAUAGCUCCGGGAAACCGGAAUUAAUACCGAAUAUGACUUUGGCUGACAUCAGCAGAAGUGGAAAGUUUUUCGGCUAGGGAUGGACUCGCGGCCUAUCAGCUAGUUGGUGAGGUAACCGGCCCACCAAGGCGACGACGGGUA
rnacentral:rRNA from 1 species